UACUGUGAAACUGCGAAUGGCUCAUUAAAUCAGUUAUGGUUUAUUUGAUGGUACCUACUACUUGGAUAACCGUAGUAAUUCUAGAGCUAAUACAUGCAGGAAGACCCGACUUCGGAAGGGUUGUAUUUAUUAGAUAAGAAACCAAUCCAGCUUGCUGGUUGCGUGCCGAGUCACAAUAACUGCUCGAAUCGCAUGACUUUACGUCGGCGAUGGUUCAUUCAAAUUUCUGCCCUAUCAGCUUUCGAUGGUAGGAUCGAGGCCUACCAUGGCGUUUACGGGUAACGGAGAAUUAGGGUUCGAUUCCGGAGAGGGAACCUGAGAAAUGGCUACCACAUCCAAGGAAGGCAGCAGGCGCGUAAAUUGCCCGAAUCCUGACACAGGGAGGUAGUGACAAGAAAUAACGUUACAGGGCUACAUUAGUUUGUAAUUGGAAUGAGUACAAUUUACAUCUCUUAACGAUGAUCAAUUGGAGGGCAAGUCUGGUGCCAGCAGCCGCGGUAAUUCCAGCUCCAAUAGCGUAUAUUAAAGUUGUUGCAGUUAGAACGCUCGUAGUCGGAUUUCGGGGCGUUCCGACCGGUCUGCCGAUGGGUAUGCACUGGCCGGAGUGUCCUUUUUGCCGGAGACCGUGCCUACUCUUAACUGAGCGGGGGCGGGAGACGGCACUUGUACUUUGAAAAAAUCAGAGUGUUUCAAGCAGGCAGCUCGCUCUUGCAUGGAUUAGCAUGGGAUAAUGAAAUAGGACUUUGGUGCUAUUUUG
rnacentral:rRNA from 1 species